rnacentral:lncRNA from 1 species
CAUUGAUGGGAGAGACACCCCAUGGCUCAGAUUUAUGAAAAUAUGCAUCAGAUUUGAAAUCGCUUACCUGAAAUGAGUAUACCAUUAUAUCAGAGCUGUAAGUGAGAAACAUGUUAUUUUUCUUCUUUUACCAGUGAAACAAGUUUUUGUUUUUUUUUUCAGACAUAUCCUUGUAAUUUCUUUUUUUUGCAGUUCUUUCAAGUCGUUCUCUGGAAAAUUUCCUGAAAUUGCCAAGAAUCUGCCACUUUCAAUAAUAUCGACUCUGAAAGAGAGAGAGAGAGGCUAGGAGAGACCGUGGGGGACAGAAGUGUUGAUUGCUGCCCAUGGCCAUGCUGGUUUAUGAAGUGAGAUGGUCGGAAGCAGGACAGAAAUUGAAUAUACCAAUCAGGAAGGAGGAGCUAUUUAAUAGUAGCAACUUUGGAACACUGAAACUAAGUAAGUAGAUACACAGUAAGCAGCACCAAAGCAAAAAGUACUCCAUGAUUCCAUUAUAUGGAGCUGUGAC